UGUUCUGUGGCUUAGUAGGAUAAAGUGCCGGACUAGCGAUACGGACUCGUAGAUUCGAAUCCCACAAAAACAA
rnacentral:tRNA from 1 species